rnacentral:rRNA from 1 species
AUACGUAGGGGGCGAGCGUUGUCCGGAAUGACUGGGCGUAAAGGGUACGUAGGCGGCCAGAUAAGUCAGAUGUGAAAGGCAUGGGCUUAACCCGUGUUAGCAUUUGAAACUGUGUGGCUUGAGUUAAGGAGAGGAAAGUGGAAUUCCUGGUGUAGCGGUGAAAUGCGUAGAUAUUAGGAGGAAUACCAGUGGCGAAGGCGACUUUCUGGACUUAAACUGACGCUGAGGUACGAAAGCGUGGGGAGCAAACAGGAUUAGAUACCCUGGUAGUCCACGCCGUAAACGAUGAGUGCUAGGUGUCGGGGGUCGAACCUCGGUGCUGGAGCUAACGCAUUAAGCACUCCGCCUGGGGAGUACGUUCGCAAGAAUGAA